rnacentral:lncRNA from 1 species
AAAUACUAAAAACACCUAGAUAGCCUGAAAUCUAUCAAAAACCAUCAUCAAAACCUUCCCCCCUUGAUUUGGCCAGCAUGCUUCCAUCAUGAAAACUUGAGUUUCAACCAUAGAAAAUGAAAAAGAAAGCAUGGGUAAGGUAGAUCUUAAGCUAAAUCGCGAAAUCUUACCUCCGAUCGCUUCGUUUUUUGAAAAUCUAAUGAAUUUCUCUUGAAU